rnacentral:rRNA from 1 species
UACGAAGGGGGCGAGCGUUGUUCGGAAUUACUGGGCGUAAAGGGCGCGUAGGCGGCCUGCUAAGUCGAACGUGAAAUCCCCGGGCUCAACCCGGGAACUGCGUCCGAUACUGGCAGGCUUGAAUCCGGGAGAGGGAUGUGGAACUCCAGGUGUAGCGGUGAAAUGCGUAGAUAUCUGGAGGAACACCGGUGGCGAAGGCGGCAUCCUGGACCGGUAUUGACGCUGAUGCGCGAAAGCCAGGGGAGCAAACGGG